rnacentral:lncRNA from 7 species
GUAAAAAGUCAUCAUCUUCUGAAUGGUGAUUUCAUAGAAUUGAAAGCUUCUAAAAGAAACUGGGGAAGUUUUGAAGUACUGCCUCUGGAUACAACUUUAUUCUUGAAGCAACUUACUACUUCUCAACAAGAAAUUCAUCUGUUGAACUGUUCUGCUGUUUGUUCUCAGACCAUUGUAAGGAAUAGCAUAGCUGCCCUGCAGAAAAGAAGCCUGAAAAUACCAUCAGCCUCUGCUGCAAACACCAGAGUCUGUCAUCAGCCAGAACAAAAGCAAGUACUUCAUUUGUACUGUGAGAGGGAUUUGCAGCCUCCCAUGCUGCAGCUGUCCCUGCUUGAGAAUUGUAAAAAGAACAGAGAAGCAGUGAUGGUUGCAGAGACAAGAAGCACCAGACAGGUCAAACCAGUGUUGCAUGCACAGCCCCAAGAGAAGCUAUUGGAGAGAGCCUUAUGGCCAAACGGAAACAGAGGUCCUCUUGAUGUCCUCUGAAGAGCAUCUCUCCUGGGCAUCAUUGUGCAGCCUGAGCUCUUGCCCGGGAGUGAGUGAUCACAGCUGAUAUCCUGGGGCCUUCCUGAGGAGUAAGGCUGAGGUAUUUUAAAUGCACUUUGGAUGGACCUGAAGAAGUUUAUUCCUCUUAAUAAACAAUGUUUUUGAAUAUGUUUGGAAACCUUUGCUUAAGCACUCGACUAACUGACUUACAGUGGAGGUGCGGGUAGCUUUUUGGCAUUUGCGUUGGUCUCUUUUCACUGGUGACAGGUGACAGGUGACAGGAUGAGG